ensembl:lncRNA
GCGUGAGUGGUUUCAUAGGACAGCAUCCUGUGUCCAAACCCACAUGGUUUUGUGACCCGCCCAGGUGCAGCCCCGCUUUCUGUGCUGUGCAUUGCAACCUAUCCUGCUGGCAGUUCAGCAGAACAAAUCUCAAAACCUCUUCAGCUACCGGUGUGUAGGUAAUCUGGCUCUUACGGUACAUUGAUGAAACAUGAGAUGUAUGUGGAUCCCUGGUCCAGUUUUUACCUACAGUGGCACCACCAUUGCCCUCUUGCAGCCUGUGGCACCCAGGUUCACCCCAGCAAACUCUGCACCACUGAAGGGUCCAAGCCCCAGCAAGGAGAUGACAGGUGUGCUGACAUGAGAGACUGCAAGUUAUCCAUGACAAUGACAAAUGCAUUUUCAUAGGUCCACAGGACUCAUAGGAAAAGAGCUGGUUAUGUUUUUUCAUCUUCCAGUUGUGAAAAUUCAGUCUUUUCGAUUGUUCAUUUCAAUCCUGUAUUUUGAAAACCGUGUUUGAGGAGGUGGAGAGUGAUGUGAACACUUUGUCCUUUCCAUUUCUUACCAAGAGGCGGCAUCUGAAGGCCUGGUCUUCACCUGCAGAAGCACCUGGAAGUUUCAUUCUUCCAGAACUGUGUAAGAGGUGCUGUGUAGGUACUCUACCACAGAAACAUAGAAUCAUCCAGAUCAGAAAAGACCUUCAAGAACACCAGUUCAACCACCAGCCUGACUUAGAAUCACAGAAUCAUAAGAUCAUGGAAUAUCCUGAGCUGGAAGGGACCCACAAGGAUCCACAAGUCCAGCUCCUGGCUUCACACAGGACCAGCCAAAAUUCAAACCCUACUUCUGAGAGUGGUGUCUCUGGCUGCCAGAGCAUUCUGCUGGCUCAGGUCCCUACCAGAUCCCAUCUCUAAGCCAUGUCCCCAUCUCCUAUACUGGUGGCUGCUUGCUUGCAGGCAGUCUGCUGUCCCCGCCAGUGGAAGAGGCUCAGGGCUUUGCUUUGAAGAUGGUGGAGAGCUACAGCCCCUCUGUAUCAUUCAUACUGACAGGAAAGAUGCAUGGUGUGACUUCACGGGGACUCAUGUCCCUCUGUCCCCAGGGGAGGGACGGCCCCGUCCCUGCCUGGUCACGGGGCUAAGCAACCAUCCUAACCCAGUUCCGCCAGUGUUUUGGGGAGCCACUCAUUUUGGGGCUGCCUUCCUGCGAGAUUUAUGUUCUCUGAAGAGUUAAGUACAUUAGUGAGCGUAAUCUCACUCCAUUACCUUCUAUAAAACAGAAUCUGCGAUUUCCUCCCUCGUGAGCAUUUACCAUCGUGCAAUGGGCUACUAUUUUCAUAUUCAACCCAUUGGUAAAUCAUAAAGUCAGCUCACAUUCUUGGCCUUGAAGUGCAGGGCCUUUGGGGUGGGACAAUGGCUCAAGGCUGUGAGAAGGGCACGGGGCAUCGGCAUCACCUUGCAGCCCCAUCACAUCCCUCCGUCUUCUUUGAAAUUGACAAAAUUCAGCAAUUUACAAGGCUUUUUAAAAUCUGAGAUGAAGCAAUUAAAUCUCCAGACUGGAAGAUGUGAACCUUUAAAGGCCCUUUGCAGAAUAUCAAAAGAAAGAGAGGAUUAUAUUUAGCAGGUGUGACAGCCCACGCAGGACAUUUCAUUGCGAAAGGGCCUGACACGAACCAGGAACCAAUACUUAAAUUAAUACAAAACAUCUUGGGGGAAAGGUGUUUUCUUUGCUUUUUUAAGCGUUAGGAAAUCAUAACGCUUUCGGGCUUCUUCAAAAGCGAAAGGUCCAACUAUACAGCAGUCAUCUGGCAUGUAAAAUAAAAAGAAGGAGGGGAUAAAAUGGGGAAAGGGGCGCCUAGAAAUGCUUGGGACAAGACUGGGAGGGGAUGCCUUGCUUUUCUGAAGCUGUGGUUCUAACACUCAGUACGAUGUUGUCUGUCCCCAGCAGGGAGGCAUUGGCUGUGGGGCAGGUGGGGGGAGAAGGCGAUGCUCUCUGGCCACAGAGAAGGGACUGGGAGGUGCUGCUGUGGCACGAUCCACUUUUGGGGUGCUCUGUCUCUUUGCUCUGCUGCUCUGAGCUGGGCAUGGGCCAGGUUGCUGCUCACCUCUUUCGGUCAUGAUUUAGGCAUUCAAAAAGGCACAGCGUGGUCCAAAGCCGUCAUUCUCCCAGAGGGGAAAAGCGCGCGGUCUGUGUAUAGGGGACCCUUUGGCACGGAGAGAGUUAAAGGUCCUCAGCACCCACCAGCCCUGGUUUAGGCAGUGUCUAAAAUCAGCCCUAGACCCGCUUUAUUUUUUCCUUAAAAACAGGAAAUGGAGCCCUGAAGGCUUUUUAGCUGCAGAGAGAGUGAGGAGGGGGUAAUGCUCACUCUGCCCAUAUCCAGCCCUGGGCCUGACCCAGACUUGGGGGUCUCUCUGUGUGUGGAGCACUCGGCUCUCCGCAUCUCACGCUGCCUCUCCGUGCGCUGACCGCUGCCCGAGGAGCGCCGCGGGGACCGGCGGCGGGAGAUGCCCGGAGCGGCGGCGGGGGC